CGGAACGGACACCCCUUUCACAGUACAGAUGUACAAAGAGGCCAUUGGAAAGCCCUACCAACGAAUUACGUUGUACAUCUGUACUCUUGAAGCCGUUGAAAACAGUUGUUACACUGGAACAACCUCUUCAAGUGACGAGGACAGUGUGGUUGUUGCAAAGUUGCCAUCUGGAGACAGUCUUGCUGACACCGUGGUGUGGGACUUUCCAAAUGAACAGAGCACUCCCAGAAUGGACAACAGUUUG